rnacentral:rRNA from 1 species
AAUCAACGCUGGCGGCGUGCCUCAGACAUGCAAGUCGAACGAUUAAAGCUCUCUUCGGAGAGUGCAUAGAGUGGCGCACGGGUGAGUAACACGUAAGUAAUCUACCUUCGAGUGGGGAAUAACGUCCGGAAACGGACGCUAAUACCGCAUAAUGCAGCGGCAUCGAAAGCUGACAGUUGUUAAAGAUUUAUCGCUUGAAGAGGAGCUUGCGGCAGAUUAGCUAGUUGGUAAGGUAAUGGCUUACCAAGGCUACGAUCCGUAACCGGUCUUAGAGGACGGUCGGUCACACUGACACUGAAUAACGGGUCAGACUCCUACGGGAGGCAGCAGUCGGGAAUUUUGGGCAAUGGGCGAAAGCCUGACCCAGCAACGCCGCGUGAAGGAUGAAGUAUUUCGGUAUGUAAACUUCGAAAGAAUGGGAAGAAUAAAUGACGGUACCAUUUAUAAGGUCCGGCUAACUACGUGCCAGCCGCCGCGGUAAUAC